AGAGUUUGAUCCUGGCUCAGGAUGAACGCUAGCGGCGGGCUUAAUACAUGCAAGUCAAGGGGUAGCAAUACACCGGCGUACGGGUGCGUAACGCGUAUGGAACCUGCCCUUAUCUGGGGGAUAACUCGGGGAAACUCGAGCUAAUACCGCAUAAGAUAGUAGAAUGGCAUCAUUCAGCUAUUAAAGAUUUAUUGGAUAAGGAUGGCCAUGCGUAAGAUUAGAUAGUUGGCGAGGUAACGGCUCACCAAGUCUACGAUCUUUAGGGGCUCUGAGAGGAGAAUCCCCCACACUGGCACUGAGAUACGGGCCAGACUCCUACGGGAGGCAGGAGUAGGGAAUAUUGGGCAAUGGGCGGAAGCCUGACCCAGCCACGCCGCGUGCAGGAAGACGGGCCUCUGGGUUGUAAACUGCUUUUAACUGGGAAGAAAAGAGGCCUUGCGAGGCAAGUUGACGGUACCAGGUGAAUAAGCCACGGGUAACU
rnacentral:rRNA from 1 species